rnacentral:piRNA from 1 species
UGAAGGUUCUAGAUUCCUCUGGUGUCUCUAUU